rnacentral:rRNA from 1 species
AUUGAACGCUGGCGGCAGGCCUAACACAUGCAAGUCGAGCGGUAGCACAGAGAGCUUGCUCUCGGGUGACGAGCGGCGGACGGGUGAGUAAUGUCUGGGAAACUGCCUGAUGGAGGGGGAUAACUACUGGAAACGGUAGCUAAUACCGCAUAACGUCGCAAGACCAAAGUGGGGGACCUUCGGGCCUCAUGCCAUCAGAUGUGCCCAGAUGGGAUUAGCUAGUAGGUGGGGUAAUGGCUCACCUAGGCGACGAUCCCUAGCUGGUCUGAGAGGAUGGCCAGCCACACUGGAACUGAGACACGGUCCAGACUCCUACGGGAGGCAGCAGUGGGGAAUAUUGCACAAUGGGCGCAAGCCUGAUGCAGCCAUGCCGCGUGUGUGAAGAAGGCCUUCGGGUUGUAAAGCACUUUCAGCGGGGAGGAAGGCGUUAAGGUUAAUAACCUUGGCGAUUGACGUUACCCGCAGAAGAAGCACCGGCUAACUCCGUGCCAGCAGCCGCGGUAAUACGGAGGGUGCAAGCGUUAAUCGGAAUUACUGGGCGUAAAGCGCACGCAGGCGGUCUGUCAAGUCGGAUGUGAAAUCCCCGGGCUCAACCUGGGAACUGCAUUCGAAACUGGCAGGCUAGAGUCUUGUAGAGGGGGGUAGAAUUCCAGGUGUAGCGGUGAAAUGCGUAGAGAUCUGGAGGAAUACCGGUGGCGAAGGCGGCCCCCUGGACAAAGACUGACGCUCAGGUGCGAAAGCAUGGGGAGCAAACAGGAUUAGAUACCCUGGUAGUCCACGCCGUAAACGAUGUCGAUUUGGAGGUUGUGCCCUUGAGGCGUGGCUUCCGGAGCUAACGCGUUAAAUCGACCGCCUGGGGAGUACGGCCGCAAGGUUAAAACUCAAAUGAAUUGACGGGGGCCCGCACAAGCGGUGGAGCAUGUGGUUUAAUUCGAUGCAACGCGAAGAACCUUACCUGGUCUUGACAUCCACAGAACUUUCCAGAGAUGGAUUGGUGCCUUCGGGAACUGUGAGACAGGUGCUGCAUGGCUGUCGUCAGCUCGUGUUGUGAAAUGUUGGGUUAAGUCCCGCAACGAGCGCAACCCUUAUCCUUUGUUGCCAGCGGUUAGGCCGGGAACUCAAAGGAGACUGCCAGUGAUAAACUGGAGGAAGGUGGGGAUGACGUCAAGUCAUCAUGGCCCUUACGACCAGGGCUACACACGUGCUACAAUGGCAUAUACAAAGAGAAGCGACCUCGCGAGAGCAAGCGGACCUCAUAAAGUAUGUCGUAGUCCGGAUUGGAGUCUGCAACUCGACUCCAUGAAGUCGGAAUCGCUAGUAAUCGUAGAUCAGAAUGCUACGGUGAAUACGUUCCCGGGCCUUGUACACACCGCCCGUCACACCAUGGGAGUGGGUUGCAAAAGAAGUAGGUAGCUUAACCUUCGGGAGGGCGCUUACCACUUUGUGAUUCAUGACUGGGGUGA